rnacentral:rRNA from 1 species
GAAGUGUGGACGCCAGUCUGCAUGGAGCCGACCUUGAAAUACCACCCUUUAAUGUUUGAUGUUCUAACGUUGACCCGUGAUCCGGGUUGCGGACAGUGUCUGGUGGGUAGUUUGACUGGGGCGGUCUCCUCCUAAAGAGUAACGGAGGAGCACGAAGGUUGGCUAAUCCUGGUCGGACAUCAGGAGGUUAGUGCAAUGGCAUAAGCCAGCUUGACUGCGAGCGUGACGGCGCGAGCAGGUGCGAAAGCAGGUCAUAGUGAUCCGGUGGUUCUGAAUGGAAGGGCCAUCGCUCAACGGAUAAAAGGUACUCCGGGGAUAACAGGCUGAUACCGCCCAAGAGUUCAUAUCGACGGCGGUGUUUGGCACCUCGAUGUCGGCUCAUCACAUCCUGGGGCUGAAGUAGGUCCCAAGGGUAUGGCUGUUCGCCAUUUAAAGUGGUACGCGAGCUGGGUUUAGAACGUCGUGAGACAGUUCGGUCCCUAUCUGCCGUGGGCGCUGGAGAACUGAGGGGGGCUGCUCCUAGUACGAGAGGACCGGAGUGGACGCAUCACUGGUGUUCGGGUUGUCAUGCCAAUGGCACUGCCCGGUAGCUAAAUGCGGAAGAGAUAAGUGCUGAAAGCAUCUAAGCACGAAACUUGCCCCGAGAUGAGUUCUCCCUGACCCUUUAAGGGUCCUGAAGGAACGUUGAAGACGACGACGUUGAUAGGCCGGGUGUGUAAGCGCAGCGAUGCGUUGAGCUAACCGGUACUAAUGAACCGUGAGGCUUAACCUU